GACGUAGGGGGCCAGCGUUGUUCGGAAUUACUGGGUGUAAAGGGUUCGUAGGCGGUGUGGCAAGUCGGGAGUGAAAUCUCUGGGCUCAACCCAGAGUCUGCUUCCGAAACUGCUGUGCUUGAGUGUGGGAGAGGCGCGUGGAAUUGCAGGUGUAGCGGUGAAAUGCGCAGAUAUCAGGAGGAACACCAAUGGCGAAGGCAGCUCGCUGGGACGUGACUGACGCUGAGACGCGAAAGCGUGGGGAGCAAACAGG
rnacentral:rRNA from 1 species